UAGGGAAUCUUCCACAAUGGACGCAAGUCUGAUGGAGCAACGCCGCGUGAGUGAAGAAGGUUUUCGGAUCGUAAAGCUCUGUUGUUGGUAAAGAAGGAUAGAGGCAGUAACUGGUCUUUAUUUGACGGUAAUCAAACAGAAAGUCACGGCUAACUACGUGCCAGCAGCCGCGGUAAUACGUAGGUGGCAAGCGUUGUCCGGAUUUAUUGGGCGUAAAGCGAGGGCAGGCGGAAUGAUAAGUCUGAUGUGAAAGCCCACGGCUCAACCGGGGAACUGCAUCGGAAACUGUCAUUCUUGAGUGCAGAAGAGGAGAGUGGAAUUCCAUGUGUAGCGGUGGAAUGCGUAGAUAUAUGGAAGAACACCAGUGGCGAAGGCGGCUCUCUGGUCUGCAACUGACGCUGAGGCUCGAAAGCAUGGGUAGCGAACAGG
rnacentral:rRNA from 1 species